UACAGAGGUCCCGAGCGUUGUUCGGAUUCAUUGGGCGUAAAGGGUGCGUAGGCGGCUGGGUAAGUUUGAUGUGAAAUCCUGGGGCUUAACCCUGGAACUGCAUUGAAUACUGCUCGGCUAGAGUACUGGAGAGGAAACUGGAAUUCACGGUGUAGCAGUGAAAUGCGUAGAGAUCGUGAGGAAGACCAGUGGCGAAGGCGAGUUUCUGGACAGUUACUGACGCUGAGGCACGAAGGCUAGGGGAGCAAACGGG
rnacentral:rRNA from 1 species